GUCAAUGCGUGUCUGUGUGAGUGCCCCGCCCCCCCGCUGUGAACGUAUAGGCCCGGCCCCUCCUAUAUAGACUUUACUACACGAACACCGUGUGCUUUCCAUCAGCGCACCAGCCUCAGUCCAUCCCCAAUCAGCCCAGGUCCAGCGCAGUUACAGACCUUGAGAGCUGCACCAGCAGUUCCCUGUCCUUCAACCCACCACAGACCACAGAACCAGACAUGAUCAUCAGACUGGGCAGACUGACACCUGGAUACUUCCGUCUCCUCCAGAGACAAGUGGCUGGCGAGGUGCAGGCCCAGCCACAAGACCGCAUGGUCAACCAGAUCGCCAUGAUGCUGGCCAUCAUGGGCCUGAGCUUGUCCUACUAUAGUGCCAAACAGAUGACCGAGAAGGUUCAGGCUCAGCCAGCGCCCUGAAGAGUCUUCCCGCCACUCCAGUCGGCUUUGGAAAAAAAAAAAAUGGAUGAGCCAAUGAGAAGUGAAGGACUCACCGCGAGGAAGCAGAAACAUGGAGAUGUCAUCCAGACCAGCACUUUUCUCACCUCACAGUCGUAGUCACAAUCUAAGACACUGUAUUUCCUGGCAUCCCUCACCCACCAUGCACACAGAGGUCAGGGCUGCUGCUAGGGUUAUCAAAUUUUAUUUUCUGUUGUUGUUGGGACCUUUUAGGACAGUUGGAAGGGAUGGCGCUUGAGGCCAAUGGUCUCAUGGCCAGACUGUUUCUGAUGGACUGGUUAGGGUGAUCCAACCCAGCUGACUGUGUUCACGCUGGGGCUGCACUUUAGUUGUUGCCAGGGUACAUGCUUGCAAGAUGCCAUCAAUGUUGUUCUGGGCAAUAAAAAAAAAAGGACAAAAAACCUAGACAAAAGUCAGAUUCUUCUAAAGUAACUGUGAAUAUUGCCAAAUGCUCAAAGCAUGCACAAAUAUUGAAGAAUAAAAUGAACAGUAAUGCCCUUUUUAAGGGGAAGGCUCUGCAUUUGAGAUGUACCUAGCGACAAAGUGAAGGCGGACCCAGAACGUUAUCAUUUUUUUUGUUUUGUUUUUGUUUUUAGUUUUUUCUUCCAGUGCGGAAACCCUGCAGAGCCUUGUGAACAGAUAUGUAGCUGUGUUCAACAACCAGGUCAAUAUUCAUACAUGUUAAAUGUCUGUUGGGUGUCAGAGAUACAGUAACCAUAUUUGCACAAUACUGGAGAAACGUGGUAUUUUAUGUUUCUUUUUCUGUAGGUAAUUGUUCAAAUAGAUCUUCCAAAGGGACUUAAUACUAAUCACUACCUACCUUUUUACGUUUUUCUUUUUCUGUGCGUGUGUUAAGAUAGCUGAUGAAGUCUUGUCAGGAUCUGCGGCUGCCUUGAGAAGAGCCCUGGUUCAGAACCAUGUCUGCAGUAUAAACUGCAUGUUGAUGCAAACAUUUAACUUCACUGAACAUUGCAUGGGUGUGCAGAGUUUUAAUCUUCAAAAUUCAUGAUACUGUCACGUUUUUAAUGAUAAAUGAAUGUAUUACUUUGUUUUUGUAACGAUUUAAUAAAGCUGUGAACAUUUUGAAUGAGA